UACGGAGGGUGCAAGCGUUGUCCGGAAUCACUGGGCGUAAAGGGCGCGUAGGCGGCCUGGUAAGCGUGCGGUGAAAGCCCGGGGCUCAACCCCGGGUCGGCCGUGCGAACUGCGAGGCUGGAGCACUGUAGAGGCAGGUGGAAUUCCGGGUGUAGCGGUGGAAUGCGUAGAGAUCCGGAAGAACACCGGUGGCGAAGGCGGCCUGCUGGGCAGUGGCUGACGCUGAGGCGCGACAGUGUGGGAGCAACAGG
rnacentral:rRNA from 1 species